rnacentral:lncRNA from 1 species
AUGCGCUCUGCAGCUCCUACUCCGAUGGGGCUAAAGAGCCCCUGGCUGAGCGCACACCAGAGGGGGGCGCCGCAGGGGUUCGCGGGGGAACGCGGCCAAGGCAAGGGAGCAUGUGCCGCGGAGGCUGUGGCAGGCUGCAAACUGGAGGACCCCUGCGAACACCUCCCCCACUGUCAGCAGCUGCAACCUCCGCACCGCCGGCGGUCCCUGACCGUCGGAACCCGGGCGAGCCUGGCUCCAGUCACCCAAAGGUCGCCCCAGCUCGUCAGUCAGCGCCCUCGGGCUGGAACAAAGGCGAGGGGGCGCGCGGCAUCGCCCCAGCGGCCCUUUCGGGCAUCUGCCCAAGGCCAAGAGAGCGAGGACCAGGGUCCCCCAGAUCCUCUGCUACAGUCUCGGGACCUCAUUUGCCUCUCCCAGAAAAUCUUGAGGAAGAGGAGCAGUUCAGGGAGGGAUAGGAAUUGAAAGGGACACACCUGGCUGUUUUAUAUUUUGUGAGAGCACGGAG